UCUUAUGAAUGAAAGAAGAACGUGGUUUCUUGAGAUGGAAUCUACUCCUGGUGAAGAUGCUAUGAA
rnacentral:pre_miRNA from 1 species